AGUACCUGAAACCGUUGGUCUACAAACAGUCAAAGCAGACUUGUUCUGCGAUGGCGUGCCUUUUGAAGAAUGAGCCAACGAGUUACGGUGUGUGGCAAGGUUAACCCGAUGAGGGGAAGCCGGAGCGAAAGCGAGUCUGAACAGGGCGUUCAGUCGCAUGCCGUAGACCCGAAGCCGAGUGAGCUAUCCAUGGGCAGUGUGAAGCGGAGGUAAGACUCUGUGGAGGCGCGAACCGACUUCAGUUGAAAAUGGAGCGGAUGACCUGUGGAUAGGGGUGAAAGGCCAAUCAAACUCGGUGAUAGCUGGUUCUCCGCGAAAUGCAUUUAGGUGCAGCGUCGUGCGUUCAACGAUGGGGGUAGAGCACUGAAUGGGCUAGGGGUCCUACAAGACUACCGACCCCAAUCAAACUCCGAAUACCAUCGUUCCAGAGCACGGCAGUGAGACCUCGGGGGAUGAGCUUCGAGGUCGAGAGGGAAACAGCCCAGACCGCCGGCUAAGGUCCCAAAAUCUGAACUAAGUGGUAAACGAUGUGAGAUUGCGAAGACAGCCAGGAGGUUGGCUUGGAAGCAGCCAUCCUUGAAAGAGUGCGUAACAGCUCACUGGUCGAGUGAUCUUGCGCGGACAAUGUAACGGGGCUCAAGUUCAGUACCGAAGCCGCGGAUGCGACUCUUUGAGUCAUGUGGUAGCGGAGCGUCGAGCGUGCAGCGAAGCGGCGGGACAACCCAGCCGUGGAGCGCGUUCGAGUGCGAAUGUUGGCAUGAGUAGCGAAUGAGGGGUGAGAACCCCCUCCGCCGUAUGUCCAAGGGUUCCUGGGCGAGGCCAAUCCUCCCAGGGUGAGUCGGGAGCUAAGGCGAGGCCGAGAGGCGUAGUCGAUGCACAACUGGUUGAUAUUCCAGUACCACCAUGUUCGCGUCCGUCCCAAUUCUCUGUUGCUAAGGGGCUGUGUUGACUUCGGUCAACGCGAACCGACCCACAUUGUUGCGGGAAGCUGUAGGGGGACGCAGGAAGGUAGAUGAACCCGGUGAAUGGUAGAACCGGGGUAAGCGUGUAGGAGGAGGACCAGGUAAAUCCGGGCCUCAUAAACUCUGAGACGUGAUACCGAGCCGCUUCAGGCGAAGUCAUUGAUCCUAUGCUGCCUAGAAAAGCCCAGCAGCGAGUUGACAUGGUGCCCGUACCCCAAACCAACACAGGUGGACAGGUAGAGCAUACCAAGGCGAGUGGUAUAACUAUGGUUAAGGAACUCGGCAAAUUGCCUCCGUAACUCCGGGAGAAGGAGGACCCCAGUAGCGUGAUGAGACUUGCUCUCUGAGCGUGAAGGGGUGGCACAAAAUUGAGGGAAGCGACUGUUUACCAAAAACACAGCAGCGUGCUAAGCCGUAAGGCGCUGUAUACGCUGUGACUCCUGCCCGGUGCUGGAAGGUUACGGGGAUGGGUUAGUCCUUCGGGACGAAGCUCUGAACCUAAGCCCCAGUAAACGGCGGCCGUAACUAUAACGGUCCUAAGGUAGCGAAAUUCCUUGUCGGGUAAGUUCCGACCUGCACGAAUGGAGUAACGACUUCCCUACUGUCUCAACCAUAGACCCAGCGAAAUUGAAGUACGAGUAAAGAUGCUCGUUAGCUGCAGAAGGACGGAAAGACCCCGUGGACCUUUACUAUAACUUGAUGUUGUGUUUUGUCU
rnacentral:rRNA from 1 species